UUUCUGCUUCAACAUUUCCUCUGCUAUGGAAAUCAACAUCUUCACAUUGUUAGGACCAGGGUCUGUGUCCACAUUGGGUCCACACCGGCCUAAGCUGGAUCCAUUUGCCUGAAUUCUUACGUAGUUACUGUUCCUACACUGCCCAAAUGCCAUAGCUAUGGCUUGGUCCACUGAAUCUGCCGAACCAUCACCUGCAAUUGGGUCGAGCCCAGUGCCUGGCCCUCCAGUUUUUAACCUCCUCAUAAUCGUAACUCAACUCAAGAAGCUGACCAGCACCAAGAGACAGUACUAAUAAAUCUUCCACUCCUCUCACGAAUGGAAACUCUUGCUUGUUAUGCAGAACGUGCGUGAUUGCCGCGGAUGUUGGGUUGCUCAUAGCCAAACCACCUUCAACCGCUAAACACUUGGUCUGACCGUCAAUCGACCGCAUUUGAAUUGGCUCGAAUAAACCCGGCUCGGCCGAUGUCGCUCUGCAGACUUCCCAGAGCCGGAAAUCAAAACUAUCGGUUUCUAAUGCGUCUGCUCUUGAGAACAGAAACGGCGCCAUGCUUGAAAGAUCGUAGCAUGGGAUCAGAACAGGUUUUAAUGUAUCUUUAAGAGUUAAGCUUUGACCUUUCUCAGUGAACAUCUCUUUCAUGGCUUUCUCUAGACAGCCUGUGGUGGCAGUCGUUCCAGAACCGCCUUUGAAUAGCCGCUUAAGAACGCCGCCGCCGCUACCACAACCAUUUCCAACACCUCCUCCAUUGCCAUUACUGGAACGGUAAAUUUUCCCGCCAUGAUCGGCCAAAAACCUCCAAGUGUCAUCUGCCUUCAUAAUCGCAUGGUUAUGAUCUUUACUGCCAAAAAGCAUG
rnacentral:misc_RNA from 1 species